rnacentral:rRNA from 1 species
AUUGAACGCUGGCGGCAGGCCUAACACAUGCAAGUCGAGCGGGGUUUUCGGACCUAGCGGCGGACGGGUGAGUAAUGCGUAGGAAGCUACCCGAUAGAAGGGGAUACCAGUUGGAAACGACUGUUAAUACCGCAUAAUGUCUACGGACCAAAGUGUGGGACCUUCGGGCCACAUGCUAUCGGAUGCGCCUACGUGGGAUUAGCUAGUUGGUGAGGUAAUGGCUCACCAAGGCGACGAUCCCUAGCUGGUUUGAGAGGAUGAUCAGCCACACUGGAACUGAGACACGGUCCAGACUCCUACGGGAGGCAGCAGUGGGGAAUAUUGGACAAUUGGCGCAAGCCUGAUCCAGCCAUGCCGCGUGUGUGAAGAAAGCCUUCGGGUUGUAAAGCACUUUCAGUAGGGAGGAAGGGUUAAGUGUUAAUAGUACUUAACUUUGACGUUACCUACAGAAGAAGCACCGGCUAACUCUGUGCCAGCCGCCGCCGUAACAC